GCCGCCAUAGUGUAGUGGUAGCAUGUAUCCUUCGGGUGGAUGAGGUCUUCGGUUCAAUCCCGGAUGGUGGCC
rnacentral:tRNA from 1 species